rnacentral:tRNA from 1 species
GCAGUGGUGGUUCAGUGGUAGGAGUCUCUCCUUCCAUGUGGGAGACCUUGGUUCGAUUCCAAGCCAACGCA